GAUGAAGAACGCAGCGAAAUGCGAUAAGUAAUGUGAAUUGCAGAAUUCAGUGAAUCAUCGAAUCUUUGAACGCACAUUGCGCCCGCCAGUAUUCUGGCGGGCAUGCCUGUUCGAGCGUCAUUACAACCCUCAGGCCCCCGGGCCUGGCGUUGGGGAUCGGCGGAAGCCCCCUGCGGGCACAACGCCGUCCCCCAAAUACAGUGGCGGUCCCGCCGCAGCUUCCAUUGCGUAGUAGCUAACACCUCGCAACUGGAGAGCGGCGCGGCCACGCCGUAAAACACCCAACUCUUCUGAAGUUGACCUCGAAUCAGGUAGGAAUACCCGCUGAACUUAAGCAUAUCAAUAGCGGAGGA
rnacentral:misc_RNA from 1 species